rnacentral:tRNA from 2 species
UCUUCCGUAGUAUAGUGGUCAGUAUGUGAGCUUGUCAUAGACAUCGCUCGAGACCCGGGUUCAAUUCCCGGCGGGAGAG